rnacentral:rRNA from 1 species
UACGUAGGGAGCAAGCGUUGUCCGGAAUCAUUGGGCGUAAAGCGCGUGUAGGCGGCUCGGUAAGUCUGCUGUGAAAGUCCAAGGCUCAACCUUGGAAAGCCGGUGGAUACUGUCGAGCUCGAGUCCGGAAGAGGCGAGUGGAAUUCCUGGUGUAGCGGUGAAAUGCGCAGAUAUCAGGAGGAACACCAAUGGCGAAGGCAGCUCGCUGGGACGGUACUGACGCUGAGACGCGAAAGCGUGGGGAGCAAACAGG